rnacentral:rRNA from 1 species
GAUGAACUUUGGCGGCGUGCCUAACACAUGCAAGUCGAGCGCGUCUGAUUUGAUGCUUGCAUUGAUGAAAGAUGAGCGGCGGACGGGUGAGUAACGCGUGGGUAACCUGCCCUAUACACAUGGAUAACAUACUGAAAAGUUUACUAAUACAUGAUAAUAUAUAUUUACGGCAUCGUAGAUAUAUCAAAGUGUUAGCGGUAUAGGAUGGACCCGCGUCUGAUUAGCUAGUUGGUGAGAUAACUGCCCACCAAGGCGACGAUCAGUAGCCGACCUGAGAGGGUGAUCGGCCACAUUGGAACUGAGACACGGUCCAAACUCCUACGGGAGGCAGCAGUGGGGAAUAUUGCACAAUGGGCGCAAGCCUGAUGCAGCAACGCCGCGUGAACGAUGAAGGUCUUCGGAUCGUAAAGUUCUGUUGCAGGGGAAGAUAAUGACGGUACCCUGUGAGGAAGCCCCGGCUAACUACGUGCCAGCAGCCGCGGUAAUACGUAGGGGGCUAGCGUUAUCCGGAUUUACUGGGCGUAAAGGGUGCGUAGGUGGUCUUUCAAGUCGGUGGUUAAAGGCUACGGCUCAACCGUAGUUAGCCUCCGAAACUGGAAGACUUGAGUGCAGGAGAGGAAAGUGGAAUUCCCAGUGUAGCGGUGAAAUGCGUAGAUAUUGGGAGGAACACCAGUAGCGAAGGCGGGCCUUUCUGGACUGCAACUGACACUGAUGGCACGAAAGCGUUGGGUAGCAAACAGCGAUUAGAUACCCCUGGUAGUCCAGGUUGUUAAACGAUGAGUACUAUGUGUCGGGGGUUACCCCCCUCGGUGCCGCAGCUAACGCAUUAAGUACUCCGCCUGGGGAGUGCGCACGCAAGUGUGAAACUCAAAGGAAUUGACGGGGACCCGCACAAGUAGCGGAGCAUGUGGUUUAAUUCGAAGCAACGCGAAGAACCUUACCUAAGCUUGACAUCCCUUAGACCGGUGUUUAAUCACACCUUCCCUUCGGGGCUGAGGUGACAGGUGGUGCAUGGUUGUCGUCAGCUCGUGUCGUGAGAUGUUGGGUUAAGUCCCGCAACGAGCGCAACCCUUGUCUUUAGUUGCCAGCAUUCAGUUGGGCACUCUAGAGAGACUGCCAGGGAUAACCUGGAGGAAGGUGGGGAUGACGUCAAAUCAUCAUGCCCCUUAUGCUUAGGGCUACACACGUGCUACAAUGGGUGGUACAGAGGGUUGCCAAACCGUGAGGUGGAGCUAAUCCCUUAAAGCCAUUCUCAGUUCGGAUUGUAGGCUGAAACUCGCCUACAUGAAGCUGGAGUUACUAGUAAUCGCAGAUCAGAAUGCUGCGGUGAAUGCGUUCCCGGCUCA